rnacentral:rRNA from 1 species
UACGGAGGGUGCGAGCGUUGUCCGGAAUCACUGGGCGUAAAGGGCGCGUAGGCGGGCUCUUAAGUCAGGGGUGAAAGCCCAAGGCUCAACCUUGGAAUUGCCUUUGAUACUGAGGGCCUUGAGACCGGAAGAGGUCGGCGGAACUGCGAGUGUAGAGGUGAAAUUCGUAGAUAUUCGCAAGAACACCAGUGGCGAAGGCGGUUCUCUGGGACGGUACUGACGCAUGAGA